rnacentral:rRNA from 1 species
UUAGGUGAAAUUGAUAGACGUAAGGAAGUCAAUUAAAUCUGGACACUUAGAGGAAGGAGAAGUCGUAACAAGGUUUCCGUAGGU